rnacentral:rRNA from 1 species
UACGUAGGGUGCGAGCGUUGUCCGGAAUUAUUGGGCGUAAAGAGCUCGUAGGCGGCCUGUCGCGUCGGAUGUGAAAGCCCGGGGCUCAACCCCGGGUCUGCAUUCGAUACGGGCAGGCUAGAGUUCGGUAGGGGAGAUCGGAAUUCCUGGUGUAGCGGUGAAAUGCGCAGAUAUCAGGAGGAACACCGGUGGCGAAGGCGGAUCUCUGGGCCGAUACUGACGCUGAGGAGCGAAAGCGUGGGGAGCAAACAGG